rnacentral:rRNA from 1 species
AUUGAACGCUGGCGGCAGGCCUAACACAUGCAAGUCGAACGGUAACAGGAAGCAGCUUGCUGCUUUGCUGACGAGUGGCGGCCGGGUGAGUAAUGUCUGGGAAACUGCCUGAUGGAGGGGGAUAACUACUGGAAACGGUAGCUAAUACCGCAUAACGUCGCAAGACCAAAGAGGGGGACCUUCGGGCCUCUUGCCAUCGGAUGUGCCCCGAUGGGAUUAGCUAGUAGGUGGGGUAACGGCUCACCUAGGCGACGAUCCCUAGCUGGUCUGAGAGGAUGACCAGCCACACUGGAACUGAGACACGGUCCAGACUCCUACGGGAGGCAGCAGUGGGGAAUAUUGCACAAUGGGCGCAAGCCUGAUGCAGCCAUGCCGCGUGUAUGAAGAAGGCCUUCGGGUUGUAAAGUACUUUCAGCGGGGAGGAAGGGAGUAAAGUUAAUACCUUUGCUCAUUGACGUUACCCGCAGAAGAAGCACCGGCUAACUCCGUG